CAAGGAUGGCAGCACUGAUGUUCAUCUUGGUGAGGGAAGGAGCGCAUCCAGGAAUUCCAGCUGUUAUGGGGAAUGAUGCUGCAGAAGGACUGCUUAGUUUGGAGCAUUUCUAUUCCAGUGGUGCAAUGUCAAGUAAAUCAACAGGUUUCAGCAAUCUGUAUUUGUUAGUCUAGCCCAGCAGUGACAGCUAAAGGAGAUGGACUGGACAUUAUCAAGGCACAAGUUGGAUAUGGAGAUACCCUGUUACCGAUCACUUGCAUGU
rnacentral:lncRNA from 1 species